UACGGAGGGGGCUAGCGUUGUUCGGAAUCACUGGGCUUAAAGGGCGCGUAGGCGGCCGGGUUGGUCGUGGGUGAAAUCCCCCAGCUUAACUGGGGAAGGGCCUACGAUACUGCCUGGCUCGAGGGAGGAAGGGGCGGUCGGAACUGUCGGUGGAGCGGUGAAAUGCGUUGAUAUCGACAGGAACGCCGGUGGCGAAAGCGGACCGCUGGCCCUCUUCUGACGCUGAGGCGCGAAAGCCAGGGGAGCGAACGGG
rnacentral:rRNA from 1 species